rnacentral:lncRNA from 1 species
AUCAGAAAUGACUAAAAGUAUAGUGAGCAAUAAAGGUUACAUAAAAUGUUAGAUAAUUCAUAAAAGAAAAAUCAAAUAUCAGGGGAAAAAGCUUGACUUGAGAUACGUAGCAUCAUCAUGAAUAAAUAAAGUUCGAGAACGGAAACCAACUUUGGUAGAGACGGACAAGGGUGAAACUUAAUGCCCCUCCGCAAUGGCGGGGGCAUAAACAACUAUUUAAAUGAAACACAGA